rnacentral:rRNA from 1 species
GUAAUGUCUGGGAAACUGCCUGAUGGAGGGGGAUAACUACUGGAAACGGUGGCUAAUACCGCAUAACGUCGCAAGACCAAAGAGGGGGACCUUCGGGCCUCUUGCCAUCAGAUGUGCCCAGAUGGGAUUAGCUUGUUGGUGAGGUAACGGCUCACCAAGGCGACGAUCCCUAGCUGGUCUGAGAGGAUGACCAGCCACACUGGAACUGAGACACGGUCCAGACUCCUACGGGAGGCAGCAGUGGGGAAUAUUGCACAAUGGGCGCAAGCCUGAUGCAGCCAUGCCGCGUGUAUGAAGAAGGCCUUCGGGUUGUAAAGUACUUUCAGCGGGGAGGAAGGUGUUGUGGUUAAUAACCGCAGCAAUUGACGUUACCCGCAGAAGAAGCACCGGCUAACUCCGUGCCAGCAGCCGCGGUAAUACGGAGGGUGCAAGCGUUAAUCGGAAUUACUGGGCGUAAAGCGCACGCAGGCGGUCUGUCAAGUCGGAUGUGAAAUCCCCGGGCUCAACCUGGGAACUGCAUUCGAAACUGGCAGGCUUGAGUCUUGUAGAGGGGGGUAGAAUUCCAGGUGUAGCGGUGAAAUGCGUAGAGAUCUGGAGGAAUACCGGUGGCGAAGGCGGCCCCCUGGACAAAGACUGACGCUCAGGUGCGAAAGCGUGGGGAGCAAACAGGAUUAGAUACCCUGGUAGUCCAUGCCGUAAACGAUGUCUACUUGGAGGUUGUGCCCUUGAGGCGUGGCUUCCGGAGCUAACGCGUUAAGUAGACCGCCUGGGGAGUACGGCCGCAAGGUUAAAACUCAAAUGAAUUGACGGGGGCCCGCACAAGCGGUGGAGCAUGUGGUUUAAUUCGAUGCAACGCGAAGAACCUUACCUGGUCUUGACAUCCACAGAACUUUCCAGAGAUGGAUUGGUGCCUUCGGGAACUGUGAGACAGGUGCUGCAUGGCUGUCGUCAGCUCGUGUUGU